GGUAAACGCUGGCGAUGUGCCUAAGACAUGCAAGUCGAACGCCCCGCAAGGGGAGUGGCAGACGGGUGAGUAACGCGUGGGAAUCUACCCAUCCCUACGGAACAACUCCGGGAAACUGGAGCUAAUACCGUAUACGCCCUUAGGGGGAAAGAUUUAUCGGGGAUGGAUGAGCCCGCGUUGGAUUAGCUAGUUGGUGGGGUAAAGGCCUACCAAGGCGACGAUCCAUAGCUGGUCUGAGAGGAUGAUCAGCCACAUUGGGACUGAGACACGGCCCAAACUCCUACGGGAGGCAGCAGUGGGGAAUAUUGGACAAUGGGCGCAAGCCUGAUCCAGCCAUGCCGCGUGAGUGAUGAAGGCCUUAGGGUUGUAAAGCUCUUUCACCGAUGAAGAUAAUGACGGUAGUCGGAGAAGAAGCCCCGGCUAACUUCGUGCCAGCAGCCGCCGUAA
rnacentral:rRNA from 1 species